rnacentral:rRNA from 1 species
CAUGCAUGUCUAAGUACAAACUUGUAAAAGUGAAACCGCGAAAGGCUCAUUAAAUCAGUUGUGGUUCAGUAGAUUAUACCAAUAGUUACUUGGAUAACUGUGGUAAUUCUAGAGCUAAUACAUGCUUAAUAACAAGGCCCAGCAAUGGGACUUGUCGCAUUUGUUGCGUAAGCUCAAUCGGCGAGGGUGCCGAAUUCGGCACUUCACUGCAAAAAUGUUGAGUCUAGAUAAACUAGCUGAUCGCACGGUCUAGUACCGGCGACGAAUCUUUCAAAUGUCUGCCUUAUCAACUGUCGAUGGUAGGUUCUGCGCCUACCAUGGUUGUAACGGGUAACGGGGAAUCAGGGUUUGAUUCCGGAGAGGGAGCCUGAGAAACGGCUACCACAUCUAAGGAAGGCAGCAGGCCCGCAAAUUACCCACUCCCGGCACGGGGAGGUAGUGACGAAAAAUAACGAUACGGGACUCAUCCGAGGCCCCGUAAUCGGAAUGAGCACACUUUAAAUCCUUUAACGAGGAUCAAUUGGAGGGCCAGUCUGGUGCCAGCAGCCGCGGUAAUUCCAGCUCCAAUAGCGUAUAUUAAAGUUGUUGCGUUUAAAAAGCUCGUAGUCGGACUUGUGUCCCAGGCCUCUGGUUCACCGCUUGUCGGUGGUCACUAGAGUGCCUUGGGACGUCCUGCCGGUGAACUUAGUCGCAAGACGGUUCAACUCGCUCCCCGAAGCUGAUGCUCUUAACUGAGUGUCGCCUUGGGCCGGCAAAGUUACUUUGAACAAAUUAGAGUGCUUAAAGCAGGCCAAGCUUGCCUGAAUAUUCUGUGCAUGGAAUAUCGAAAGAGGACCUCGGUUCUAAUUCUUGUUGGUCUUAAGAACCCGAGGUAAUGAUCAAUAGGGACUGAUGGGGGCAUUAGUAUUGCGACGUUAGAGGUGAAAUUCUUGGAUCGUCGCAAGACUGACUAAAGCGAAAGCAUUUGCCAAAAAUGUCUUCAUUGAUCAAGAACGAAAGUUAGAGGUUCGAAGGCGAUCAGAUACCGCCCUAGUUCUAACCAUAAACGAUGCCAACUUGCGAUCCGUCAAUGUUCUUCUGAUGACUUGUCGGGCAGCCGCCGGGAAACCUAAGUCUUUGGGUUCCGGGGGAAGUAUGGUUGCAAAGCUGAAACUUAAAGGAAUUGACGGAAGGGCACCACCAGGACUGGAGCCUGCGGCUUAAUUUGACUCAACACGGGAAACCUCACCAGGCCCGGACACUGUAAGGAUUGACAGAUUGAGAGCUCUUUCUUGAUUCGGUGGGUGGUGGUGCAUGGCCGUUCUUCGUUGGUGGAGCGAUUUGUCUGGUUAAUUCCGAUAACGAACGAGACUCUAGCCUACUAACUAGGCGCUCGGCAUCCUAAAGGUCCGCCCGGGUUGGCUUCGGCUGGCUCGGAGUGAGACUUUUACUGCCGGCGCUAACAAAUGUCUUCUUAGAGGGACAAACGGUAUCCAACCGUACGAGAUUGAGCAAUAACAGGUCUGUGAUGCCCUUAGAUGUCCUGGGCCGCACGCGCGCUACACUGAAGGAAUCAGCGUGUUUUCUCUGGCCGAAAGGUCCGGGCAAUCCGUUGAAUCUCCUUCGUGCUAGGGAUUGGGGCUUGAAAUUCUUCCCCAUGAACGAGGAAUUCCCAGUAAGCGCGAGUCAUUAGCUUGCGUUGAUUACGUCCCUGCCCUUUGUACACACCGCCCGUCGCUACUACCGAUUGAAUGAUUUAGUGAGGUUUUCGGACUGGUACUCCGAGGCGCCUUGGUGUCUUGGAUGCUGCUGGGAAGAUUACCAAACUUGCUCAUUUAGAGGAAGUAAAAGUCGUAACAAGGUUUCCGU